CUCUCUUAAUAUUGCAUUGAAAGCUUUGAUGCAAAUAUAUUUGGUCUUCUAAUCAAUUUCCGUUCAAAGGAUAGAAGAAAUUUUUCAGUCAACUAUAAAUAAUGAAAUCUCUACACUGGAUUUGCUUCUGUCUACUCACAAUUGCCAUGUAUUUGCUUUCUCAAAACAUUGGUUCAUCUGCCUCUACAACUGUCUACACAAGGAGAAAUAUGAAAGAAAUGAAGGUGUCAUCACCAAACUGUCACACGAUGAAGGUGAUUGAUGCUGAGGCUAAGCAAUCAAAAGAUGCGGAUGGUUGCUCAAUGGCAAAGGAGUAUAAAACCGCUACCGAUAAAAUGGACGAUGAUAUUGUUUAUCAUAUCGAUUAUCAUGGAGUAACAACUCAUCCUACUCCGAAUCCAAAACAUACAAAAACCAUAAAAUCCUUGCCAUUCAACAGAUGAAUGUAUAACAAAAAUGAUUAUAUAUAGUUUUCUUCCUACCAUCCUUACAAUUUUUUUUUCUUCAUAUAUUUUCCUUUCUGGUUUUGUUUUACGCAGACUGGUGCUUACUAUGUGAUCAUGUUGAUUCCACUGGUAUCUAGUAUGUAUUAUCAUUUAAUUAUAGUACCCAAAAACUAAUACCAGUAUGCAUCAUUUUAAUAUACAAAAACAUGAAAAAAGAUAAAAACUAGCUUUCAGACUUGACUUGAUGAAAGAUGUAAAUAUAAAAAUACAUUUAAAGUUAAAAAGCAAAGAAACAAAAUUAUUGAUAAUUUAUAUGCUUUAUUUUCUUUUGUAUUAUUAGUUUAAAAGGUAAGAGGUUAUGAUUACAGUCAAUUACAAUGCAUUGUGCAUUCCACUGAUGUAUUGUUUGCUGGUGUUCAAGUAGUUUUUUAUAACAUCCUCUUAAGAAAUCUCCCUACAAAAUUUAGAUUGAACCAGCAUGAAUUAAUGCUGGAUCUGCCACACGCUUGUUCUCCUAAUCAAGUGGCUGAAAAGAGUUUUCCGGUUAAGAAUACCAGUCAUCAGCAUCAAAUGAUGAAGAAACAGCUGCUAACAAGCACAUGCCUUACUUUUGAGCAGUCAAGGAGUUCUCCCAGAAGUCAACCUUGAUUCAAAGUGAAGCCGGAUAAUACAAUCAGCGGACAACUGAACAAUUCUCCUACACGAAGCGUGCAGUGGAAGCAAAUCUUAGACAUAAACAUCCACGGCUAGCGACUAGGCUACCUUGACUCCGCCGUUUAUGAAAUAGAAGGUUCUCUUCAAGAUAAAGUUGCAAUUACAAUCCCAUCAAAAGAAGCACCCAUCCGGAUUCUAAGGCAUGAUGCUCUCAAAACGGUCAUCUAGUAAGAUGUUAACUUCCAAAUGCUGUUGAUAUAGGCGUAACUCCCUCUAAUUCAAAUUAAAAUCACGGACUAAUGUCCUAUAUUAGGGGAAAUUCAAAUGUACUUUCAAUCCAAAAAUCUUGUAUAAAAGGAACAAAAAGAGUGGGAGGAAGAGAGAGAAGGAAAAUACACAAAAGAUUACAGUACUAGCUUAUAUCAUUCGUGAUCGUAAGUAUUCCAAUCACCGGGCCAAAGCAUGUAAAAAAUCCUCUGUUUUAUA